rnacentral:rRNA from 1 species
UACGGAGGGUGCGAGCGUUAUCCGGAAUUACUGGGUUUAAAGGGCGCGUAGGCGGCCACCUAAGUCAGACGUGAAAUCCCUCGGCUCAACCGGGGAACUGCGUCUGAUACUGGGCGGCUUGAAUUCGGGAGAGGAAUGCGGAAUUCCAGGUGUAGCGGUGAAAUGCGUAGAUAUCUGGAGGAACACCGGUGGCGAAGGCGGCAUUCUGGACCGACAUUGACGCUGAGGCGCGAAAGCCAGGGGAGCAAACGGG